rnacentral:rRNA from 1 species
AUUGAACGCUGGCGGCAGGCCUAACACAUGCAAGUCGAGCGGAUGAAGGGAGCUUGCUCCUGGAUUCAGCGGCGGACGGGUGAGUAAUGCCUAGAAAUCUGCCUGGUUGUUGUUUAUAACGUCCGGAAACGGGCGCUAAUACCGCAUACGUCCAGAGGGAGAAAGUGGGGGAGCUUCGGACCUCACGCUAUCAGAUGAGCCUAGGUCGGAUUAGCUAGUUGGUGGGGUAAAGGCCUACCAAGGCGACGAUCCGUAACUGGUCUGAGAGGAUGAUCAGUCACACUGGAACUGAGACACGGUCCAGACUCCUACGGGAGGCAGCAGUGGGGAAUAUUGGACAAUGGGCGAAAGCCUGAUCCAGCCAUGCCGCGUGUGUGAAGAAGGUCUUCGGAUUGUAAAGCACUUUAAGUUGGGAGGAAGGGCAGUAAGUUAAUACCUUGCUGUUUUGACGUUACCAACAGAAUAAGCACCGGCUAACUUCGUG